rnacentral:rRNA from 1 species
ACCAAGGCGACGAUGUCUAGGGGCUCUGAGAGGAGAAUCCCCCACACUGGUACUGAGACACGGACCAGACUCCUACGGGAGGCAGCAGUAAGGAAUAUUGGUCAAUGGGCGGAAGCCUGAACCAGCCAUGCCGCGUGCAGGAUGACUGCCCUAUGGGUUGUAAACUGCUUUUGUCCGGGAAUAAACCUCCUUACGAGUAGGGAGCUGAAUGUACCGGAAGAAUAAGGAUCGGCUAACUCCGUGCCAGCAGCCGCGGUAAUACGGAGGAUCCGAGCGUUAUCCGGAUUUAUUGGGUUUAAAGGGUGCGUAGGCGGCCCGUUAAGUCAGGGGUGAAAUACGGUGGCUCAACCAUCGCAGUGCCUUUGAUACUGACGGGCUUGAAUCCAUAUGAAGUGGGCGGAAUAAGACAAGUAGCGGUGAAAUGCAUAGAUAUGUCUUAGAACUCCGAUUGCGAAGGCAGCUCACUAAGCUGGUAUUGACGCUGAUGCACGAAAGCGUGGGGAUCGAACAGGAUUAGAUACCCUGGUAGUCCACGCCCUAAACGAUGAUAACUCGAUGUUGGCGAUAGACAGCCAGCGUCCCAGCGAAAGCGUUAAGUUAUCCACCUGGGGAGUACGCCCGCAAGGGUGAAACUCAAAGGAAUUGACGGGGGCCCGCACAAGCGGAGGAGCAUGUGGUUUAAUUCGAUGAUACGCGAGGAACCUUACCCGGGCUUGAAAGUUAGUGAAGGAUGCAGAGACGCAUCCGUCCUUCGGGACACGAAACUAGGUGCUGCAUGGCUGUCGUCAGCUCGUGCCGUGAGGUGUUGGGUUAAGUCCCGCAACGAGCGCAACCCCUAUGUUUAGUUGCCAGCAUGUUAUGGUGGGGACUCUAAACAGACUGCCUGUGCAAACAGUGAGGAAGGUGGGGACGACGUCAAGUCAUCAUGGCCCUUACGUCCGGGGCUACACACGUGCUACAAUGGACGGUACAGCGGGCAGCUAGCUGGCAACAGCAUGCUAAUCUCUAAAAGCCGUUCACAGUUCGGAUCGGGGUCUGCAACUCGACCCCGUGAAGUUGGAUUCGCUAGUAAUCGCGUAUCAGCAAUGACGCGGUGAAUACGUUCCCGGGCCUUGUACACACCGCCCGUCAAGCCAUGAAAGUUGGGGGUACCUAAAGCAUGUUACCGC